CUGAAAGCAGCUAAGUGUGAAGCCCACCUCAAGAUGAGAUUUCCCAUUUCUUUAAGAAAGUAAGAUUCCUGAGAGAUGAUCAGGUAGAUAGGUCAGGAGUGGAAGUACAGUGAUGUAUGGAGCGGACUGAUACUAAUCGAUCGAGGACUUAACCAAU
rnacentral:rRNA from 1 species